CCUCGUGGCAGCUUUUGGAGACUUUGAAUAUGAACUUUAAUACCUUUACAUUGAAAUUUGGAUUCUCAAAACUUCUAUAAUAUUAUGUUAUGUAGUAGAAUUUGGAUGUUCUCAUUUAGAUUUGGUUAUGAUCAUUGAUCAGUGCUAUCUGUUUGUCAUAUUUUUCUUGUGGUGCUGUAAUUGGUGUACAAUCUUUUAUUUUGUCUCACUAAGACAAAGGCUACUGCAACUGCAACAUACAUCAUCAUCAUCAUUAUUUUUUUAACACGAUCAACUCAUCAAAGUGAGUAAGUGGUGCUUUUCUUCUUUUGUUGCUUGGCUUGGCUCUUUCUGAUUGUCAGACAUCAAAACAUUUGACAAUUGUGU